rnacentral:rRNA from 1 species
UAAACGACUCUCGGCAACGGAUAUCUCGGCUCUCGCAUCGAUGAAGAACGUAGCGAAAUGCGAUACUUGGUGUGAAUGCAGAAUCCCGUGAACCAUCGAGUUUUUGAACGCAAGUUGCGCCCGAAGCCAUUAGGCCGAGGGCACGKCUGCCUGGGCGUCACACGUCGUUGCCCCUCCCAACCCCUUCGGGAGUUGGCUGGGACGGAUGAUGGCCUCCCGUGYGCUCCGUCGCGCGGUUGGCAUAAAUAACAA